AGCGGCGUCGCGCGGCCGAGGGGCGGGGCAGCGGCGUCGCGCGGCCGAGGGGCGGGGCGUUGGCGUCACGCGGCUGAGGGGCGGCCCGCCGCCAUCUUGGGGCCGAGCGCGGAGCGAGCCCGGGCGGGGUUGGGGAGCUCGGUGUGGGGGCGGUGACAGAGCCGCAGCCUCGCCUGGCUUGGAGGUGACCGCAGAGAGCAUUGUGUCCCUGCUAUGACCGAACGCUACCGUGUCGGCCAGAGCAUGGCACUCAGUGCCUUACCCAGUCUUUCCUGGAACACCUCCAGGGACGGUGAUUGCACCACCUCCCUGAGCAGCCCAUUCCAAUGUCUGAUCACGCUUUCUGUGGCGAAAUUACUCCUGAUGUCCAACCUUAGCCUCCCCCGGUGCAGCUGGAGGCCGUUUCCUCCUCUCCUGUUGCUACUGCCUGGGAGAAGAGGCCGAUCCUCACCUGCCUACAUCCUCCUGUCAGAACUGAGUCUGGAAAUCUGCUGCAGAGGUGAGAGCUCCCAGUCACAAGGCACUGAGGUGUCUAGAGGAACUUCAGGACCUGCUUGGGCCACGACACACUCACAGAAAGUGUGACUGUCAGCAGUUGCAGGGAAGAAAUCUGUGUUGUCAAGUGCACACUCAUACAAGCAUGAAAUAAAUGCUUUGAGGGCUGAAUAUUCCCAGCCCAUGCACAAAUAGCCUCCUGGGAGCCUUGAUUCAGGAUUCUUGGAGCUGUCUUAGUUCAGCUUGCCUGGGAAGGUGAGGAGUUUGUCUGGGAGCACCUGUUUGAAGAUGCUGGCUCAUAGUGGUGGGAGCCAUCAGCAGAUGAGACCACCGAGGAACUCCUUUAGCUGUGACAUUGUAAUGGGAGGUGGAGACACCUCGAGGAGAAGGUCGAGACAGACAACAGCAAUUACAGUCAAUAACAUCCUGACUUGCCUCGAUUACAGGAAGAAGGGUUUUCCAACAGACUGGCGAAACACAAGCACACAUACAGUGCCCUGCAAAGGUUUGGCUGCCUGUGUUUGAGGUCUGUCAUGAUACAGUGGAAUGUAAUCUGGGAUCAGAGUGCCGUGAGAAGAGCUGUCUGCCAAAGAGCUGGGAGAAGCCAGCUGGGGCCUCCCCAAUUCCAUUGGGAGCCAUGGCACAGAGCUGCCCUUGUCUUCAGUCCUCAUUUGGGGUGGGCUGUAAGGCUGUUUGUGCCUGACUGUGGACCUGGCUUUAGCUGAUCCUGACUUGACUUCUUGUCUUCGCUUCAGACCUGGCACUUCAUCCCUGUGGCCUCACUGAUCUCCCGGCUAUAUGUGCUCACUGUCACCAGACCUGCUCUGCUCUUCUUGCUUGGUCACUGUGUCUGUGUGCCCCUUUACCCGAGGUCCCUGCUGUCCUUGCUGCCAGUCCCGCUCACCUUUGCUCCUCAGGCUCCCCAAGCUCCUCUGCAGCUGCUGCUCUGCCCAUUGCCUGGCAUGGACCACAGCACCUCCGUGUGUCUGAGACUCCUGGAGGGGAUGGGCACCGAUAUGAGAGACAUUAUUGCUGUGACAAUGAGGAAGAUGCAGCGUUAGUUUUGCCUCCCUCCAGCUACCCAAAAAGCCAAAGCGAAAUUCAGGUCUAUCAGCAGAGCCCGGAUCCGGGAGAGCAGCCGGCAGGAGGAGCUCGCUGGACACGCCGCUGGAUCGUUCCCAAGCAGUCACAGACGCAUGUUUCAAGGGCAUCGCUUCAGAUCUGCCUUCCUGGGACUUUCUUGCAGACAAACCACCAACAGCAGAAGGCACAGGAAACUUCGUGGUAUUGCAACCGAGCAGCCCCCGUGAUUUAUAUUAAACGUUUUAGACUUUUCUCAGCUCGGUUUCUCUUCUUGGUUUCUCCCACCAUCAUGCUUUUACCUGUCAUUAUUUUACAUUAUUUUAGAUACUUAAGGUGUUCAGGAAGAUACUGAGGAUGCCUUUGAGUCCC